AGCCCAGACGCGGAGAAAAUGGUGGCAGGGGUCGAAGCUGUGGCCGAGGUAGCAGCGACGGAGAUCAAAAUGGAGGAGGAGAGCGGCGCGCCCGGCGUGCCGAGUGGCAACACAGCUCCGGGCCCUAAGAGUGAAGGAGAACGUCCUGCUCAGAGUGAGAAGAGGAAGGAGAAAAACAUAAAAAGAGGAGGCAAUUGCUUUGAGCCGUAUGCCAAUCCAACUAAAAGAUACAGAGCCUUCAUUACAAAUAUCCCUUUUGAUAUGAAAUGGCAGUCACUUAAAGACCUGGUUAAAGAAAAAGUUGGUGAGGUAACAUAUGUGGAGCUCUUAACGGACGCUGAAGGAAAGUCAGGGGAUGUGCUGUUGUUGAAUUCAAGAUGGAAGAGAGCAUGGAAAAAGCUGCGGAAGUCCUAAACAAGCAUAGUCUGAGUGGAAGACCACUGAAAGUCAAAGAAGAUCCUGAUGGUGAACAUGCCAGGAGAGCAAUGCAAAAGGCUGGAAGACUUGGAAUCACAGUAUUUGUAGCAAAUCUGGAUUAUAAAGUUGUCUGGAAGAAACUGAAGGAAGUAUUUAGUAUGGCUGGUGUGGUGGUCUGAGCAGACAUUCUUGAGGAUAAAGAUGGAAAAUGUCGUGGAAUAGGCACUGUUACUUUUGAACAGUCCAUUGAAGCUGUGCAAGCUAUAUCAAUGUUCAAUGGCCAGCUGCUAUUUGAUAGACCGAUGCACAUCAAAAUGGAUGAAAGGGCAUUACCAAAGGGAGAUUUUUUCCCUCCUGAGCGUCCACAACAACUUCCUCAUGGCCUUGGUGGUAUUGGCAUGGGAUUAGGACCAGGAGGGCAACCUAUUGAUGCCAGUCACCUGAAUAAAGGCAUUGGAAUGGGAAACAUAGGGCCAGCAGGAAUGGGAAUGGAAGGCAUAGGAUUUGGAAUAAAUAAAAUGGGAGGCAUGGAGGGACCCUUUGGUGGUGGUAUGGAAAACAUGGGUCGAUUUGGAUCUGGGAUAAACAUGGACAGGAUAAAUGAAAUCCUAAAUAAUGCACUGAAGAGAGGAGAGAUCAUUGCAAAGCAGGGGGGAGGUGGAGGUGGAGGCAGUGUCCCCAGCAUCGAGAGGAUGGGCCUGGCAUUGACCGCAUUGGGGGUGCCGGGCAUGGAGCGCAUGGGCGCAGGCCUGGGCCAUGGCAUGGAUGGCGUGGGCUCUGAGAUUGAGCGCAUGGGCCUCGUCAUGGACGGCAUGGGCUCCGUGGAGCGCAUGGGCUCCGGCAUCCAGCGCAUGGGCCCACUGGGCCUUGACCACAUGGCCUCUAGCAUCCCGCGCAUGGGUCAGACCAUGGAGCGCAUCGGCUCCAGUGUGGAGCACAUGGGCGCCAGCAUGGGCUUCGGCCUGGAGCGCAUGGCCUCCCCCAUCAACCGCGUGGGCCAAACCAUUGAGCACAUGGGCUCUGGUGUGGAGCGCAUGGGCCCUGACAUUGAGCACAUGGGCCUGAGCAUGGAGCGCAUGGUGCCCGCAGGUAUGGGAGUUGGCCUGGAGCGCUUGGGCCCUGUUAUGGAUCGCAUGGCCACCGGCCUGGAGCGCAUGGGCGCCAACAGUCUGGAGCGGAUGGGCCUGGAGCGCAUGGGCCUGGCCAUGGGCCCGGCCCCAGGCGCUGGCAUUGAGUGCAUGGGCCUGGCCAUGGGCGGUGGUGGCGGUGCCAGCUUUGACCACGCCAUUGAGAUGGAGCGUGGCAACUUUGGAGGAAGCUUCGCAGGUUCCUUUGGUGGAGCUGGAGGCCAUGUUCCUGGGGUGGCCAGGAAGGCCUACCAGAUAUUUGUGAGAAAUCUUCCAUUUGAUUUUACAUGGAGGAUGCUAAAGGACAAAUUCAACGAAUGUGGCCACGUGCUGUAUGCCGACAUCAAGAUGGAGAACGGGAAGUCCAAGGGGUGUGGUGUGGUGAAGUUUGAGUCACCAGAGGUGGCUGAGCGAGCCUGCCGGAUGAUGAAUGGCAUGAAGCUGAGUGGCCGGGAGAUUGAUGUUUGAAUUGAUAGAAAUGCUUAAGCAGUUGCCUUUUUUAACAUCGAUACCAGACCUCUGAAUUUGUAUUUUUUCUUGUUAACCAUUUUAAUUUGUUGGCUGGAUGUAUAAAGAUGUUUAAAAAAUUCAGUUGCUUUUUGGGGUAAUUUGAAUUACUUUUUUAAUGACUGGGAUUCCAUUUGACUGUUUGCAUUGAGAUUGCAAUGUGCGCAAUUUUUUUGUAGUUGUGGCAUCUUGUUGACAUCGAAUAUGACUUUGAUAAUAAAUACCAGUUCCUGAAAAAAAAAAA